UACGUAGGGGGCAAGCGUUGUCCGGAAUCAUUGGGCGUAAAGCGCGUGUAGGCGGCUCGAUAAGUCUGCUGUGAAAGUCCAGGGCUCAACCCUGGGAUGCCGGUGGAUACUGUCGAGCUCGAGUCCGGAAGAGGCGAGUGGAAUUCCAGGUGUAGUGGUGAAAUACGUAGAUAUCUGGAGGAACACCGGUGGCGAAGGCGGCGAUCUGGCCCAACAUUGACACUGAGACCCGAAAGCGUGGGGAUCAAACAGG
rnacentral:rRNA from 1 species